rnacentral:rRNA from 1 species
UCGGGUGAAGCCGGGCACUCUGGAAGGACUGCCAUCGACAAGAUGGGAGGAAGUGGGGACGACGUCAAGUCAUCAUGGCCCUUAUGUCCAGGGCGACACACGUGCUACAAUGGCCGGCACAACGGGAAGCGAGUUCGCGAGGACGAGCGGAUCCCUUAAAGCCGGUCGACAGUUCGGAUUGAAGUCUGCAACUCGACUUCAUGAAGCUGGAAUCGCUAGUAAUCGCGCAUCAGCCAUGGCGCGGUGAAUACGUUCCCGGGCCUU